rnacentral:lncRNA from 10 species
GGGCCCGGCAGCUACAUUUACAAUACAAACGUUGUACAUCUGCCCCUCUGAUAUGGUUUGGCUGUGUUCCCACACAAAUCUCAACUUGAAUUGUGUCUCCCAGAAUUCCCACGUAUUGUGGGAGGGACCCAGGAAGAGGUAAGUGAAUCAUGGGGGCUGGUCUUUCCCGUGCUAUUCUCGUGAUAGUGAAUAAGUCUCACGAGCUCUGAUGUGUUUAUCAGGGGUUUCUGCUUUUGCUUCUUCCUCAUUUUUCUCUUGCUGCCACCACGUAAGAAGUGCCUUUUGCCUCCCACCAUUAUUCUGAGGCCUCCUCAGCCAUGUGGAACUGAUGACACAUCUAGAAGACCCUCACCUUAUGCUUAUGCUGGCCCCUUGAUCUUGGCCUCCAGAAAUGUAUAAUGAAGAAUCUUGAGGUCCUCCUGGAUUACCAAAGUGGGCCCUAAAUCCAGUGGCAGAAGACACAGACACAGAGAGGAGACCAGGUGAAGACAAAAGAAGAGGCUGGAGUGAUGCAACCAUCAGAGAGUGAAAAUACUCAGUUACCUCCUGGUUUAUGAGGCAAUGAAGUAUUCCAGCACAUAAAUAUUGACGCUGAGACCCAUGGGAUGUAGGAGUGCUGAGCACAUUUGCAAGACAUAAAGACCGAAGUGUGUGUGGUAUCUAGAUGAGAUGCAUGGUGAUGACUGGAGACUGGGCGUGAUGAAUGACUUAGGAAACCUCUGGAGGGUGCCUGCUUUGUGGCCAUAAACCACUGUGCCCAUGUGGAAAACACUGCAGUCCUGGGGCAGAAGAUAAACUUCAUGCUUGAUAAAAAAAAAAAAAACAACCAAAAGGUUAUUCUCUGGACCAUAGCUGUGAAUCAUUCACCCCAAGUCUGAGAGCAAUAUGGUGGGCCACGUUCAACCAGGGUUCUGAUUUUACCUACUGUGCGUGAGCAUGUCACAGGUGUACUGAUGUAAAUCUGGAACAUGGGAGGAGGAAACACUCCAAUUUCCAUUCUGUCUCCAGCGGCAUGUCUGACAGGGGUGGGACCAUCCAUGACUCCAACUCCUUUCCAAUAGAUCAGUCAUGUUCCAGUUUCUUUCAGGAUACUGCUCUUGGAACCCAGCCAUCAUGUAGGAAAACCUAAGCAAUCACUGAGAAGCCCUGUGAAUGUGUUGUGAUUUCAGCGCCAGCGGAGGUUCCAUAAGCCAGCAUCAAGCACCACAUAUAGGUGAAUCACUUCAAAGAGAAGGACCAGAUUCUCAUGGACCCCACUGCCAUGCUGGCCAGACAUCUUGCUGCCAUUGUUUUCCUGUUAUUUACUCCCAAACAGAUGGAGUGUCGCUCUGUCACCCAGGCUGGAGUGCAGUGGCACGAUCUCGGCUUACUGCAAGAUCUACCUCCCGGGUUCACGCCAUUCUCCUGCCUCAGCCUCCCGAGUAGCUGGGACUACAGGCGUCCGCCACCACGCCCGGCUAAUUUUUUGUUUUUUUUAGUAUAGACGGGGUUUCACCGUGUUAGCCAGGAUGGUCUCAAUCUCCUGACCUCGUGACCCGCCCGCCUUGGCCUCCCAAAGUGAAGUCUCUUUUCAAAAUCUUAAUGCUUACCUGUGUUUCUUUUAUGAGGAACGUCACGGAAUCAAGAGUUUUUGUCUUCAUUCUUAUUAACUUGUAAAAAUUCUAAGUUAAAGACAUAACCCUUUGUUGUAUUUGUUGUAAAUAUUUUGAAAAUUUGAUGUUUCUCUUUACAUUUUGUUUUCGUGACUUUUUCAAGUCUAAUAUUUAGGUAUAAUGGACGUAUGCCCAUUAAACCUGUGACUUCCUUUUAUUAGUCUUCUAGCCAUAGUAUUCUGCUUAGAAAGAUUUAGCCCAAAUUUUUAAAAAUAUUCUCCUUCUUAUUCAUCUUGUUAUUUUUUAUUGUUAUGUUCUAAUUCAUAUUUAAUAAUUUUGGUAUGCAUGAUAUGCAUCUCUGUCAUACCAAAUGGAGGAUUAAUUGUCCCUGAAUUUACGUGGACUUAGCCCUCAGUCUAUAUAAUUUCCUUCCUAAUCUUCAGCAUAAAUCCAUACCUCAUACUGUUUCUGUAAAAUACUUGUCUUCUCUGUUUCAUCCAUUAUUAUGAUUCACAUCUUAUUUGGCCAAAUUUAAUUCUUAAGCAACUCUUUUCAGAAUAACAUGAUUGGUAUUAUACCUUCUGAGCCUUUAAUGACCAAUAUAGGUUUUUUUUUCCCUCAGAGAUGAAGAAUAGGUUAAAUAUGCCAGAAUUUCCUAAAUACUCCACUGACUCUCCAAUGAGAUUUUAACAUAUUUUAAAGUAGAAGGGGCACUGUUGUCCAAUAAAUUUGGGAAAGUGUGUUAACAGAAUUAAAACUCUUUUUGAUGUGUGCGUUUACGUUUGAAUUUAUUGCAGGGUUUCUCAGAGCUCUUAAUAAAACGUGGUGUUUUAUGUUUUUCUAGGAAAUAAAUGUAAUAUAUAUUACAUUUAUAAGUACGCAUAAAGUAGGCAUAAGAUAGGGACUCCCCUCCACUUCAGACUGGGCAAAUAGGAAGACCCCAAGUGUAUAUACGGAAG